GGAGAGGUGGCUGAGCGGUUGAAAGCGGCGGUCUUGAAAACCGUUAGUCCGCGAGGGCUCGUAGGUUCGAAUCCUACCCUCUCCG
rnacentral:tRNA from 1 species